CUGCUGCUUUCUACAUUAUCGCAACUGCCAGAGCUCUUACUGCUGCAGUUUUCUAGUCGCAGUGCGGCAAAGCAGACGCAUAGAACCAGGCACAAAGCAACAUAGAUUUUUUUUUUUUUUUUAUUCUUGUCUUUUUCAUAUGAGGGGAAUAUUCCUGGUACUAGCGUAGGAACAGACACAGCCUGGAUGUGUUGGCUUCAGCCUGGCAGCAUUUUCAGCUGAGCAGGGACUGCUCGGAGCUCUGUACCUAAAUUGCCUCUGAGGAAGAACGCCUGGUUUUUCCCACUUUGCGUACCUAAAAGAGGGGGUUUUUUAUGCUACGGUAAUGUACCUGCAGCAAUAGGACAAAGGAGAUGGUACUUGUCUCGACUGGUACUUGUCAGUCUGUCCGACUGGGGCCUUUUGUGGGCACUCCACGGCCGAAGCUGUGCCAGCGUCCCAGGCUCAUAUAGGUGGGCAAUACAGAUUGCCGCAAUUUCUUACAUCAGUUAGAGCAAAGCUCAAACAAGAAUCCAGACUCUCUGACCUAAAUCAGUCCCAGUCCUUCUGGAUACAGGGCAGCAGUCGACUAGCAAUGACACAACCAGCCAUCAAGUGGAGAGUCUCUGGGAUUGCAAUCUGUAUCAGUUGGAGUCUGAGAGAAUGAAACCCUUUCGGGUAUCCACUCGCUGUCUGAGAGAACGAAACCCUUUCGGGUAUCCAGUCUCUUCUCCUUCUAAUACUACAAUUGCUACAACUACAGCUACUACUACUACUACUUCUGGUUUUCUUGCCUGUAAGAAGCUAUUAAUUACGGUUGGUCUCUGACUGUACAUUUGCGUGGAUUAGUCUGUCUGUAACGCAGUCCUUAUCUGCUUCUGCUGGAAAUCGGGGCAUGAAGUCAGCCUGCUUUAACAGUUGUUUCUUUCUGCGUGAUGCUAUGCAACUAGAAUGGGUUACACUGACAACAAAGGAACAAGCACAAAGCACCACUUUCUUUGCUGGACUGUUACAGGAACAUAACUCUUCUUCGAUAUGACACCCUGGUCUCUUCUCUUUGCUGGCUUUUUUGUCUUUUUUUAAUUUAAUUCAUCUAAUCGAAGAGCCUAGCAGACACCAUCGUGAAUGUGGCUUUUAAUGAUUUGGAAAAGACAGCCUGUGGAGACUGCGAUUCGAGACAGCAACACAUUUAGGUUAUUGCCAAUUUUAAAUACUUGGUUUGUGAAGCACAGCCCUAAGGGACGAGCUCAGUAACUGAGAAAGAGAUUGUAGAUAAAGAAAUAAAAAUGACAAGCGUAAUGGAGGCUCUGCAAAAGAGACUGUCAGAGAAUCAGUUCAUGGAUGGCAAUUUCACCAGUCUGAAUCUGAAUAAUUCAUAGAUUGAAAUUACCCUGCUUUCACCUUUCCAUUUAAACCGGCAUGAUCUGAAUCUCUAAUAAAUUUUCAAGAUAAAGUAAAAUGCCAAUUUGAAUCUGAAGAGCUUUUAAAACCAGAUGCUACACCCUGAAUCUUUCGAUACCUUUCACAAUUAUCCUGUGAGAACCGCACUUCAUCACGAAGCACCAUUACCAGUGAAAAUUACUGUGAUUACAAUAGCAACAAUAGAAUACCAUCAAAUGAUCUCUAAUCUACCUAAUUUAGCAAGGCUGACUGUGUGCCCAUUGUGUUUCACUACGUCUGGCAUUGGAUCAAUAUCGCAGAGGAACAAAAAUGCCUUAGUGCGUGGUUCCUUUUGGUACCUUUACCUUUGACAGCACAGGAGAAAAUCUGCCUACUGUUAAAUGUUUUUACAGCCUAUCUACAUGCCUGCUGUAGGACCUGAUUGAUUCUCCAUGAUUUUCUUUAGUUCUUGGAUAUCGGAUGUCAUUGUGUUACUAAUUUGUUUAUAAUGUAUACUCAUGCACAAAGACUGCAGCAAGCGAGUGCCAGCAGAGAGACCCUGCACUGCUGCUGCAGUCUCACCGCUCUCACAGGGGAAGCCAAAAUGAUUUCGGUGCCUUAUGUGAAUAAUUACUCCUGUCUGAGUUAGAAAUGCUUUGCAGCAUCACCGCUCUUGGUUGUACUAUGUGAAAAAUGUACGCGAAAGCCGUGGUCAAGAAAAGCAAUUGUGUGUAAUACUAACAAGAUUUGUUUUUCCCCCUAUUCAGCAAUUAACAUGUGGUUGUGAGAGACAGGCUGCGACUACUUCUGUAGAUAUGUGUGUGUGUGUGUGUAUGUAGGUACACAUGCACAUACAUAAAUGUAAAGUUCUGUGAAUAUGUGCUGAUCAUUGAAAGUAACAACUUUUUCUGACAAGCCAGGCGCAGUGUUUUGCCACAAUCUGCUCAGUUGUAACAAAUCCCUGUUUUGAAGGUGUAAAUUUCCUAUAGGAUGAUGCGUGACUUCUGGAACAUGGGACAACAGUCACAGCAACUGGCCAUUCCUCUGACCUGCAUGUAAUAAGUGAUGGUAAGAAGUUUCACUGAGAUAGCAAAUGGAUGAGAUCCCACACAGUGUGCUCCUAAAGGCUGUGUCCUGGUUGAUGGGGCUAGGGGAGAGACAGGUAUGCAGAGGGGCUUUGAGAAUGAGAAACUAUCUGUAUGCCAUAUACUUCUGACUCACAUAUUAAAAAAGGAGUGGGAAAAUGCCAUUAUUAAGUAACUAAAGGGGAGUAGGAACAUCUUUAAUUUCUAUGUUUUCACAGGCAGCUCUUCUGCAAACUUGUCAUAAUUAUACUUAGCAUGAGUAUCAUGUGGUGAAAUUCCAAGUCACCCAGAAAAGUUAACCUGUUAAUCAAUACUGAGACUGUAGAGAAAGGGUCCAUAACCCAACAGACUACACUAAUGCUUACUCAUAUACAUACACACAGUCCUAGCGUUAGUGUUCAGAUACAGCUUUAAGUCAUUUUAAUUUGCAUGUAAAUGUAGCUUUCAGUGCUACUGCACCUGUAAUGUCUGUAAGUUUACCAUAUAUUUUACAUCAGCUUAAGCAGCUACAUCCCAUUUAAAUUGAACUUUUUGGUAUUUUUGGCAUUUCUUUGAGUGACCAUGUGCCGUGCACAGAAGUAGUGUAAAUUGUUAACACUUCUUUUCUAAAAAGGUACUAUUUUCUUCAAAGCUUGUCUCUACCAAACCUAUAACCUACCUUUUCAUGAAGGGCAGUCUCUGGUGAGCUGAUUCAUAACCAGCUUGAUCUGGUUAUGAAUUGCUGGCAGUUUCUCGUUUUUAUAUUCUGUGUUUGUUUUAUUAUAUUUAGGAAUUGGAAUGCAUCCUUUCCUCUGCCGCAGAACUUGAUGCUGGCAGAUUUUUUAAUUAAUCCUUGACUGCAUGCCUCCACUGCCAACACUAUGCGCUUAAAAGUGGGCAUCCCUGUGGUGCUGAUAGCUGUGUAUGAAUGACUCGUAUACUAAGCUGGGGAGCUUUGAACGCCUUUCAGUGGUCACAUAAUGACUUUCACCAAAGGAGGAAGAAGUCUUGAUAUAUUUUUGUUUUGUUAACCCGAGUUUGGAAGGUGUUGAUUUCAUAAAUCACAAGGUUUGUCAGUAAUUUUGUUGAUGACAUCAAGCUGUGUGGUGCAGUCAACAUGCUGGAGGAAAGGGAUGCCAUGCAGAGGGACCUUGACAGGCCUGAGAGGUGGGCCCAUGAGAACCUCAAGAAGUUGAACAAGGCCAAGUGCAGGGUUUUGUAGUCCUGCACCUGGACUGGGGCAAUCCCAAGCCUAAAUACAGGCUGGAAAGAGAAUGGAUUGAGAGCAGCUCUGACAAGAAGGACUUGUGGAUUGUGGUGGAUGAGAGGCUAAACAUGAGCCAGCAGUGUGUGCUUGCAGCACAGAGAACCAAGUGUACCCUGGGCCACAUCUAAAGUAGCAUGGACAGCAGGUUGAGGAAGGUCAUUCUGCCCCUCUACUCUGCUGUGGUGGGACCCCACCUGGAGUACUGCACCCAGCUCUGGGGUCCUUGGCACAGGAAAGACCUGUUGGAGUGAGUUCAGAUGAGGGCCACCAAGAUGAUUAGAAGGAUGGAUCACGUUUCCUAUGAGGAAAAGCAGAGGGAGUUGGGAUUGUACAGCCUGGAAAACAGAAGGCUUUGGGAUGAGCUAACUACAGCCUUCCAGUACCUGAAGGGAACCUAUAAGAAAGAGGGGAGAGAGACUAUUUAUAAGAGCAGGUAGUGACAGGACAAGGGGGAAUUACUUCAAACUGAAAGAAAGUAGGCUUAGAUUAGGUAUUAGGAAGAAAUUCUUUCCUGUGAGGGUAACGAGGCAUUGGAACAGGUUGCCCAGAGAAGCUGUGGAUGCCCCAUCCCUGUAAGCGUUCAAGGCGAGGUUGAAUGAGUCUUUGAGCAAUUCGGUCUAGUGAAAGGUGUCUCUGCCCAUGGCAGGAGGGUUGAACUAGACGAUCUUCAAGGUUCCUUCCAAAACAAACCAUUGUAUGAUUCUGUGAUGUGAUUAAGUAAAUCUAUCAUAGGUAAAUAGUGGCUUCAAAAAGUAAAUUAACUGAUAUGUCUGUCAGAAGAGUUUAUUUUUCUUUACUCAUAACUCACUAUGUUUUCAGAAAUAUUUGAGACGUGUCCAGACAUCAGAAACUUUCAGGCAUUAGCUGCAGCAGGCUGCAACCAGAUGAUCAUUCUGACUUGACAAAAUAAGUUUUAAAGCAGUUCUUUUCCUUAAUGUGCCUCUUUCUUUUUUACUAGUUGUAGUUAGUAUUUGUCAAACUAGGACAAAGGUUUGUCAUUAGUCUUUUUUCUUUAGACAAUGAUACACUUACUGUGUUGAUAAGGGAAAGGGAUUUGAAAAGUGCUUGACAAAGAGAAACGUCACAGCAAGUAAAACAUGUAAUAUAUGGUAAUAUUAUCCUACCGAUUUUAAUCUGAUAGAGGUGUUAGGCUAAUUAAGAAAGAAUUAAACUACACAUGACAGAUACCGGUCACGUUGCUUAAUAUACUGCUGGAGGAUACACAGAACCAUAGAGGUGAUGAAAGCAUUGCAAGAACAUACACAGAAGGGAAAUAAAACACAAUUGCUGCAUGCAAGUAUAGUGGGUUUUGCAAGUAAACAUGGUAUACUUUUUUGACAGUAUGUUUUUUGCUAAGUAUAAUUUUCUCAUUAAUACAGAUUCUAUAUAGAAAAAUAUUUGUUAAGUGACUCAAAAUAGCUUGGGGUUUGGAGGGACAGUGAAAAGCAGAGAAUAACCCCUCAGAGGUUAUUUACUGGGAAACGUUUGUAUUAUUCUCUUAAUAUUAAAUAAUAGUUUUUCCUCUUCUGCAGUACCUUCAGGUGCCAUUUAAAAUGAAAAUCAAUUAUAUUUCUCCAAGCUCAGAAAAUUUAUGUUUCUCUGAGAAGUUGACCUCAUCAACAAGUUCAUACAAAGCACUGUUUGGCACAUAUAUGGAGAAGCACCCAGAAAAUGUUAUUUAUGUAAAGUGGAGGGGGUUUUCCUCAUUUAUUUUCUCUCUUUUUCCUGUAUUGGCUUUGUUUCUAUUAGAUUUCUUGGACCUCUGAUUCAGAGCAAAAUAGAUCUGCUGUUUCCAGAAAGAAGAUUUAUUAGUGUGGAGACGGUACAGAAAGCAAGUUUACUCAUUCUGAAUCGUGCCAAACCGCAUAAUUUGGAAAGGAAUAUUGUGGCUCUACUUGGAAAGUGCUCUGGACUGUGCUGCUGAAGAAGUGCUUUCAAAGUCCUAAGGAAGACACUGAAGCAGAUAUAUAGGUGCAUUUUAAUGCGAUGUCACCAGGAGCUAAAGGUGCAUAAUACCUAAAAAAACUGGGCUCUCACGCACGUGCCUUUGGUCCUCAUCUCACAAGGCAGAAUCGACAAGGAUCAGCUUGGUAACUUAGGUCCAGUGCCUAGCAAAUUAGGAGAGAUGGCCAGACAGGAAUACUGGCAGUUCUAAGAGACAAAAAGUGGUCACCUAAAGCUUUAGGCUUAUACAGAUACACUUCCUGCUCUGAGAAUAUCUGAAUGAGCAUAUGCACAGGGAAUGUUCUCUCUCCAGAUCCAUCUUUGAUUGCAAGUCUUAAUUUCUGCUGAAACAUAAAGGGUGUUCUCAUCAUGUUUAAGAAGAUCUGUCUUAGUUUACAGGUAACCUGAAGCCUGAGUGGUUACAGGCAUAUUGGAUCUCACACCUUGGCAGAGGAUUAUUUCUGCUUAUGUUCUGAGACAGCUCAGCACUAAAGAUGUACAAGGGGGGGAAAAAGAAUCCUGAUCCUGCAACAAUUCAUUUGGAUCCCUUGAAUGUUUCAAGGAUUUCUUAAAGUCCUCAGUGAGCAUGACAAGCAAAUUGACUGGGAUAAAACUAGGUCUCAAGUCUUUGCCUGUCUAGACAUAAAGCCUCUUUCACUGAAAUGGAGCAUGAGGGAAGACAAGAGUCUCUUAAAACAAGAAUUUCAUUCAUUUGUGCAUUACUGUAAUUAUACUACUGUCUUAAAUGCUAUGAGAUUGAUGGUGCUUGUGACCUUCCCAGAAUGUUUCAAAAGGGGGACAGUACAACCUUGCACUGUCUGAAAAAAACUCAGGCCUCCCAUCUAUGAAAGCUGUCUCAGGCAAUUCAGUGAACACUGUAAUGGCUCCUUUAUAGCCUCCUACUUGUAUUUGAGAAUGUAGGGCACAUUCCAAGGAAAAUAAGGAUAGUUCCUGUGUCUUGUUUGCUUACUUAUUGCUAUUGUUGUAGCUUGAUGUAAAAGCUGAUAACAAAAUAGAUGGUGCAUUUUAUUAGCAAGGCCUAGCCCAACAACCACGCUAACGAUAACGUAAUUACACCAGCGAUGCAAGUUUUCAUGUAAAUACAUUUCCCCUGGUAUCUGCAAUAUGUGAAUUUAGAAAAAAAAAAGUACUUUUUCGAGUUUUAAUUUCCUCCAGAAGCACAUAAUCAUUCAGUGCCUUUUCCUCUCCUUCAGAUUAGCUCUCAUCACCACAGAUACAGCUACAAGUACUUAUCUGACCUUUUCUUGCCUGUUGAACUGCCAGAGCCUUUCAGGGUACAUUUCAGUUAGCAUGCCUCAUGCAACAGCCUGGCCGGUCCCCAUAUGCCUCUAUGUUAUUAUGAAUGUGUACUGCAGUUUCACAAAGGUGUUCUGGAUGGAACUUGUUCCAGAGAGCUUGUUCAAAGGGAAACUGUAAACCCCAGCCUCUCUGGAAGACCAGAAUUCCUAUGCUCCUGUUCCAAAACACUGCGGUGGCUGGCCCAGCAUGCCAUGGAACAUCAUCCUGUGCAGCACCAACAGGGCAGCUACCGGGACAUCACCAGGCACUGUGCCAGGCUCUGCCUUGCAGGUUAAGUUACUGACACUUGCCAGCUGCUCUUUGUGAGGGAGAACUUAAACACCUUCCUCUUACCUUAGAAAUACAAAUAUUGUAAAUCAUGCGGUUAUGCCAAUAAAUAAAGGUAGUGCAUUGAGAGUAAAAGCAACAUCUUCCAUUUUUAAACUUUGUACAGAACAACUUCAAAAAUGUAUACUGUCACAUCAUCUCGAAAGGAAAAAUAAUUGGGGAAAAAAAAAAUCCACAGCCAUAGUGUUUGAAGUAGGCCAUGAAAGCCAUCUGACCUGUCAUUUGAGUCCUUCAGUAUCAAAGAGCUGCGUUAACAAUAACUGUAAUGAAAUUAGACUUCUUAUGCAUGCAUGAGCAAUAAAAAAAAGUCCAAGAAAUAUACUAUGGUAGUAAUCAAGGUUAAGAAAAAGAAAGCCUUCCUUUCCUGCAGCCCUUUAUUCAAAGAGGGUUUCCUAGGAUCUACACAACACAGCAAUGAAGUGAGGCCAUGAAGCUAUUGGACCUGCAGCUUUUGUUUUCAUGGAUAGUUUUCAGUACAAGAAUCAGUCUCCUCUGUCUUGGGGCUGAAAAAACCCAUAGCCUCUCAGAAUCUGAGGUAGGAAAGGAGGAGUUUCUUCUGGUACCAGAACCUAUGAAUGAACAUUGUAAAGCCUGGCUGUCAACCCCCUCUUUAGUGAAAUGUUGGUAGAUUUAUUCACAGUUAAACCCGAAUGUUUUUGAAAGUCUUCAUAAAAUUAUCUCAGCCAACAGCAAAGACAGGAUUGAGCUGCUGUCCAGUGAGUAUCCAUUUCACUUACCUGCAGAGGUUCCACCUGACAAACUUGCUCCAGAGACAGGAUGCUCUCAUGAGAUUCAACAUUUGCUUCAGUGUACCCAGACCUCAGGCCCAUGGCAAUUUUGCAGUCCUCCUAAGAAAUUAAUCUUUUAAUUGUCAUUCUCAGUUUAUCCUAGAAUUUGCAACUUCUGUAUGAAUUUCUUGGCCAUAUUCAGUAACCUUGUUAAUCUCAACUCCUCUAUUUCUGUCUCUUAUAACUUCUGCUAGCAAAAAUUCUCACAGUGCUCUUUUCCAACAAGGACAGAAGCCUUCUAUUCCCUUUUUCCCAUACACUGAAUAAAAUAUCCCUGACUGUACAUGCUUAUUCUACAUUUCUUCACAGUGAAAUCCCUGAGACUUAAACAACUCACUUCCAGUUGUUCACCUAAGCUUUUCUUCACUUUAAUUUCUAGGUAAAAUAGUUGCAUCAAAGAAUUUAAACUUUGUAAUUCAUAAGAAAUGCUUGGCUUUGAAAUAAAAUGCCUUUUUUUUUUUUUUUCAUUUCCAAUGACUGAAGCAGAAUUGUAUUCAUUUAGCAGACAUCAUAACUUGAAGUUAACUGGUAAUUUUUUUCAGGACAUACAUCCAGAGAGAAUUUUCCUGUUGUAAUACAAUUCACUAAUGAACCAUAGUUAACAUACUAGUUGCUUUCAGUGUAAUCUUGAGAAAAAUACAAAAGGUAAUUCAUGAUUGUAUGAAAGAGAUACAUAAACAUGCAAACGUUUUCUGCUGUUAUAGGUUCUAAGGAAUUAGUUCUGUAAGCAGUUAUCUAUAGUACAUCUAAAUUAAACAGCCCUGUUAGAAGGAAAACAUUUUGUAUUCAUUUAGUCAUUAAACUAGAAUCAAGAACAGUUGCUAAAAUAAUGGAUCCCUAUUAUUCAUUACUAUUAUGCUCAACUUUUAGGAAUAGACACCUGAUAAGAAUUGUACCAGAACUUUAGCUGCUAAUGAAUAAUUAAUUACUAGGGAGCAGAUGCAAAGGGCAAAUAGAACAACAAUACCUAAUUUCUUUUUUUUUUUCUGGAGAUACUUGUGUGGCUCUUCUUCCUUC